AUGGGGAAACUCAUGAAGGCUUUUGGUAAGGGCACUUCUGCUGCUUGUGUUGAAGAUUGUGAAGAUUCAGAUGGGGAUCCUUUUGUCCCCAAUGAUUUUGUCGAGGAUGAUCCUUUUCAAGCUUCGGAGGAAAGUCAUAUGGAUGAUCCUGAUUUGGAGAAAGCUUUGUAUGAGUUCUACGUGUCUCAUAAAGUGAAUUGCUUAAAACGGAAGAUUACAAAUGCUGGAGCUCGCAAUGUGAAGCGCAAGAGGUCUUCUGAUUUUCCUGUAGCCAUUACAUUCACUAGAUACUCUGGCAAGUUGUUCUCCACCGUUAUUGAGAUUCAGUUUAGGAAGAAGUUUAUUCUGAUUCCCAAAUAUGUCAAACAUGACAUCUUAGAUCUUCCUAUUGAUGGUGAGCCCAUUAUGUCCGAUGCUGAGGCUGGGCGUGAGUUUAUCUUGUCCCAUUUCAAUGUGACCAGCAUCCCAUCGGUUUCUUUCUUCUACAAUACACUCAAAUCUGAAGAAUUGCCUGAUGAAGACAUUUUCAUCUGCUUCAUGUGUAUUUCCUUGUCCACUUUCUUGUGUCCAAAUUCAAGCCUUUCUCCUAGUCCCAAAUAUCUCCAUAUUUUCAGAUAUUGUAGUUCUGUGAUGAACUAUGAUUUAUCUAGAUUGGUAUAUGAGAGUCUCCUUGGCAAUAUUAAGAAGUUUAAGGAUUCUAUGAAGGUUGCUUCUAUGAGAUCAAUGACAUUUGGCGGUUGUCACUACGCAUUCGCUGUCGAUUUUACAGUGUAA
rnacentral:rRNA from 1 species